UCGGGAAUUUUGCUCAAUGGGGGAAACCCUGAAGCAGCAACGCCGCGUGCGGGAUGAAGGCCUUCGGGUUGUAAACCGCUUUUACCAGGGACGAUGAUGACGGUACCUGAUGAAUAAGUCACGGCUAACUACGUGCCAGCAGCCGCGGUAAUACGUAGGUGACCAGCGUUGUCCGGAUUUACUGGGCGUAAAGAGCGCGCAGGCGGUCGUUCAAGUCGAGUGUGAAAGCCCCCGGCUCAACUGGGGAGGGUCAUUCGAUACUGAUCGACUCGAAGGCAGGAGAGGGAAGCGGAAUUCCCGGUGUAGUGGUGAAAUGCGUAGAUAUCGGGAGGAACACCAGUGGCGAAGGCGGCUUCCUGGCCUGUUCUUGACGCUGAGGCGCGAAAGCUAGGGGAGCAAACGGGAUUAGAUACCCCGGUAGUCCUAGCCGUAAACGAUGGACACUAGGUGUUGGUGGUAUCAACCCCACCAGUGCCGAAGCUAACGCAUUAAGUGUCCCGCCU
rnacentral:rRNA from 1 species